AUUGAACGCUGGCGGCAGGCCUAACACAUGCAAGUCGAGCGAGCGGCGGACGGGUGAGUAAUGUAUGGGGACUGCCCGAUAGAGGGGGAUAACUACUGGAAACGGUGGCUAAUACCGCAUACUAUCGGAUAACCCAUAUGGGAUUAGCUAGUAGGUGGGGUAAAUGCUCACCUAGGCGCCGAGCUCUAGCUGGUCUGAGAGGAUGAUCAGGCAACCUGUGACUGUGCGACGGCCCAGACUCCUAGGGAGGCAGCAGUGGGGAAUAUUGCACAAUGGGCGCAAGCCUGAUGCAGCGAUGCCGCUUUUAUUAAGAAGGCCUUAGGGUUGUAAAGUACGUUCCGCGGGGAGGCGUUACCCGCAGAAGAAGCACCGGCUAACUCCGUGCCAGCAGCCGCGGUAAUAC
rnacentral:rRNA from 1 species